UACUUGGUUGAUCAUGCCAAGGAAGCACACUUAGGUCAUAGAUUAAGCCAUGCAAGUGUUAGUUCAGGUAACGAAACUGCGAAUAGCUCAUUAAUACGCUCAGAAUCUAUUUGGCGGCGACCAACAGGUCUUAAAUGGAUAGCAGCAGCAACUCUGGUGCUAAUACAUGCGAUUGUUUCUCCAGAUGUGAAUUAUGGAGGAAAAGUUGACCUCAUCAGAGGCACGCCAUUCGACUGAGUGACCUAUCAGCUUGUACUUAGGGUCUUUACCUAGGUAGGCUAUCACGGGUAACGGGCGGUUACCGUCGGACUGCCGGAGAAGGCGCCUGAGAGAUAGCGACUAUAUCCACGGGUAGCAGCAGGCGCGAAACUUUCCCACUCGAGACUUUCGGAGGAGGUAAUGACCAGUUCCAUUGGUGCCUUUUGGUACUGUGGAUAGGGGUACGGUUUUCCACCGUACCGAAACCUAGCAGAGGGCCAGUCUGGUGCCAGCAGCUGCGGUAAUUCCAGCUCUGCGAGUUUGCUCCCAUAUUGUUGCAGUUAAAACGCCCGUAGUCUGAAUUGGCCAGCAAUGGUCGUACGUAUUUUUACGUUCACUGUGAACAAAUCAGGACGCUUAGAGUAUGGCCACAUGAAUGACUCAGCGCAGUAUGAAGUCUUUGUUUUCUUCCGAAAACAAGCUCAAUGAGAGCCAUCGGGGGUAGAUCUAUCUCAUGACGAGUGGUGGAAUACUUUGACUCAUGAGAGAGAAGCUGAGGCGAAGGCGUCUACCUAGAGGGUUUCUGUCGAUCAAGGGCGAGAGUAGGAGUAUCCAACAGGAUUAGAGACCCUGGUAGUUCCUACCUUAAACGAUGCCGACAGGAGUUUGUCAUUUGUUAAUGGCAGAAUCUUUGGAGAAAUCAUAGUUCUUGGGCUCUGGGGGAACUACGACCGCAAG
rnacentral:ncRNA from 2 species